AUAGCGUAUAUUAAAGUUGUUGCAGUUAAAAAGCUCGUAGUUGGAUUUCAAGGGUCGCAACGUGGAUAACACGUCUGCCCCUACCAGUCUUUGACUGUUACUGUGAGAAAAUUAGAGUGUUUCAAGCAGGCUGUUGCAGGAAUACAUUAGCAUGGAAUAACGAAUGUGUCUAGAAUCUUGGUUAAUUCUAGAUUACGAUUAAUAGGGACAGUUGGGGGCAUUAGUAUUUAAUUGUCAGAGGUGAAAUUCUUGGAUUUAUGAAAGACGAACAACUG
rnacentral:rRNA from 1 species